rnacentral:lncRNA from 1 species
CUGACCUGCAGACCUGCGGCCCCUGCAAGAGCGCUUCGAUAGAGCGCUAGCCAGCUGCUAAAGCUCAGCCCCUCGGCUUGCUAAGAGUUAAUUUCACAUCUGGAUCUGGUCAGCCUGAGGCCAAGCGUAAAAGUCAAUAGCGAACCAAGGAACACCACUGCAAGGAAGGCAGACGGCACCAAUGCCUGCCUUUUGCCAUACUCCAACCUGUUGAACUGCCAGAAAGAGGAAGCAAAAGGAAGCAAACAAGAUUAUGGAUUUGUCUUUCCCAGGAGCUGCCCAUCAUGGACAGGACCACACGGUGAGCAUGACUCCA